AGGGAAAUAGCUCAGUGGUAGUGCACAUGCUUAGCAUGCACAAGGUCCUGGGUUCUAUCUCCAGUAUCUCCA
rnacentral:tRNA from 1 species